AUUGAACGCUGGCGGCAGGCUUAACACAUGCAAGUCGAGCGGGGUGAUGGUGCUUGCACUAUCACUUAGCGGCGGACGGGUGAGUAAUGCUUAGGAAUCUGCCUAUAGUGGGGGACGACAUCUCGAAAGGGAUGCUAAUACCGCAUACGUCCUACGGGAGAAAGCAGGGGAUCACUUGUGACCUUGCGCUAAUAGAUGAGCCCAAGUCGGAUUAGCUAGUUGGUGGGGUAAAGGCCUACCAAGGCGACGAUCUGUAGCGGGUCUGAGAGGAUGAUCCGCCACACUGGGACUGAGACACGGCCCAGACUCCUACGGGAGGCAGCAGUGGGGAAUAUUGGACAAUGGGGGGAACCCUGAUCCAGCCAUGCCGCGUGUGUGAAGAAGGCCUUAUGGUUGUAAAGCACUUUAAGCGAGGAGGAGGCUCUUUUGGUUAAUACCCAAGAUGAGUGGACGUUACUCGCAGAAUAAGCACCGGCUAACUCUGUGCCAGCCGCCGCCGUAA
rnacentral:rRNA from 1 species